rnacentral:rRNA from 1 species
CCCUUAGAUGUUCUGGGCCGCACGCGCGCUACACUGAUGCAUUCAACGAGCCUAUCCUUGACCGACAGGUCCGGGUAAUCUUUGAAUCUGCAUCGUGACGGGGAUAGAUUAUUGCAAUUAUUAAUCUUCAACGAGGAAUGCCUAGUAGGCGCAAGUCAUCAGCUUGUGUUGAUUACGUCCCUGCCCUUUGUACACACCGCCCGUCGCUCCUACCGAUUGAAUGUUCCGGUGAGCUCUUCGGACUGCGCGGUCUGCAGUUUCUGCGUUCCGUGUGGAAAGUUGUGCAAACCUUAACAUUUAGAGGAAGGAGAAGUCGUAACA